UUGACUCCUCUAAUCUUGAUUCUUGACUCUUUACUUGAGUCUUGACUCAACGGCAGACAGCAGUAGCACACUAGCACUCAGCUCAGAUCUCGAACUCCAGUCUCUCAGAUCUCUCAUCUCUCAACUCCAGUCUCUCAUCUCAUCUCUCAACUCUCGGCCGAACUCCAGUUUCUUCGUCUGAGAGGACCAUGGGCUUUCGUUUCCCUCCUGUUUUUUUUGUUCUUGCUUUUGGAGGAUUACAUGCUUGAUACUAUUACUACUUGUCGACUAACGGAAAACUAGACGAGGAAUGAGAAUCUCAACAGUGAGAUUUGAGAAACCCUUCGUCUGUCUCAGCAAUUCCCAAUAAGAUUUGUGACCAAUGGCGGCAGUUCCCACAAAUUACAUAUUAAUCCAAGAUCCCGAUGGUGUCAUGAUAAAGUUGGGAGCCAAGAAUGGAGUAAAAGUGAAAUUGAAGGUUUGUUUUGCCCUAUUUGUAUGGAAGCAUGGACCAAUGGCGGCAACCAUCAAGUCUGGUGCGUCUAUGCGUAAUAUUAUUAUUAUUAUUAUUAUUAUUGGCUAUUAGCAAAUUUUGGAAUUAUAAGUUACUUUGGCAAAUUUGGGAAUUACAAGUUACUGUUAAAUUCGGUUAUUAACCGAAUAAUUGAAUAAUUAGUUCGGUUAGUUAUCGUGUAGUUCGGAUAGUUGUUCGAAUAUUUUAAACAACGUAAAUUCGAUUUUCAAUUAUAACCGAAAUAUGUAUUCAAUUCGAUUAAUAAUCGAAUACUCACUCCUAACUGACACCCGUUCUCAUAUUUAAUGCAGUGCAAAAUUUUACCAACACACGAAUCUC
rnacentral:lncRNA from 1 species